AGUAACGGCGAGUGAACGGAGAUUAGCCCAGCACCGAAGCCUAUUCGUGCAUACGAACAAGGCAAUGUGGUGUUCAGGCAUGCAUCUUAGAUGGCUCGUCUACUCGAAGUCCAACUCCGAUUAUGGCUUGGAUUUGUCCCAUAGAGGGUGAAAGGCCCGUUCGAGUAGGCAUUGUUGUUUUGAGCUGUCUUUUGAUAUGCGUGCUUUGGAGUCGGAUUGCUUGAGAAUGCAGUCCAAAGUGGGUGGUAAACUCCAUCCAAGGCUAAAUACUGGCACGAGUCCGAUAGUAGACAAGUACCGUGAGGGAAAGUUGAAAAGUACUCUGAAGAGAGAGUAAAUAGUACGUGAAGCCGACUGAAUGGAAGCUGGUGGAGUCAAGCUUUUAGCUUGAAGAAUUGGCGCGGAGACCUUGUUGUCAUUGUGGAGUGUGUAUUUAUCGGCUUGUAAAUGGCUGGGUACUUCGGUACCUUUAGUUAUCCGGGCUGGUUGCUAUUGUUUGUUCACGCUCUGCGGUCACUCGUGCUAUUUCUUCUUGCUUGUAUCACGGUCAAUGCUAUCGUGGUGUGUGUACGUCUAACCAAGUUGCUGCUAGCAUCAGCUAGCGUGGCUUGGAACGGCAGGGGGUGGUUGCUUAGUCUCGGCUAUUCAAUCAUGUAUGCUGAUGUACACGCUGUUAAUACCAUCGAGUGCAUUGUUUAUAUUUCCUCAAUCUCCAUAAGUGGUA
rnacentral:rRNA from 1 species